AUUGCUUCUCGGCUUUUUGGCUAAAUUCAAGUGUAGUAUCUGUUCUUGUCAGUUUAAUAUUUUUAUUCAUUUAAUGUUUUUUAAAAGCAUUUAUUUAUUUAUUUAUUAGAGAGAGGGAGAGCCCAGACGGAGAGGGAGAAGCAGACUCCCCACUGAGCAGGGAGCCCAACGCAGGGCUCGAUCCCAG